GUUUGGCUCUUGAAAGCCCCACUGAGAGAGCUAACACUAUUAUCUCUGUGUUAUGGACAAAACUGUCUGUGGAUGAGGGACCUUGCCCAAGGCCCAGGGUGGGUGAUGAGGCCAGGAUUUGACCUGGAAGUGCCUGGUCCCCAAGUUCACAUCCUAAAAUUGAGCUAUGACCUUGUCUCUAUGUGGGCCACAACUCAGCCAUUCAGAAUCAGAUGACACUCCCUGCUCUGAGGCAGGGUCCUCUCUGUCCCCUGAAGAACCUGGUGACAGCCUCUGCUCUGUCCUUCACUCUAAGCUUCAUGACAGCUGUUGAACGAGCAGAAUGCAGUGGUUGUGACACAUGAGCUUUUGGUACAGCUUAUAAAAGCCUACAGACCCCACCCAGCCUGGAGCAUCACUGGGGUAAGACAGCAGACCCCUGCUUGAAAGGGGGCAUCAGAGACACUAUUGUGUGCAGGAAUGGACAACAAAGCGGUUUGAACCCCUAUAAGUACUCAUUAUGAUGACCUGGAGUUGGGGGUCCCAGGGAGACCUUUCAGUUCCCUUAAGGCUCAGGCUAUGCCUCAGCUAACUUGGCUCAAGCUGCUUGCCUUUACUCUACCACUGGGGAGGGAGCAGCCCUCCAGAUGUGUGAAAGGUGGCAGCCUGGGACAUUGAAGCCCAACAUACAGUCACAUGGACAUCAUGGGACCAGCUUCUGGGAACCACAGAGACCAUCUCCAUGCCUGGCAUCAACUCCUCUUCAAGUUGCCCCGUGCUCAUCCACCAGGAAGCAUCCUGAUGUGGGCCAGCAGCUCAAGUGUCAGUCCAGCUCCAAGUCCAGCAAUCCUUUCCACACCACGCUAGCCUUUCCCAGGUCCUUACUCCAAGCCAAGCCACACCACACCAGAGCCAUCCUUCUACACACCAGCCGGGAUCCUGCCUCCUCUCCCACAUGGCCACACCAUAGCUCGUCCUUCUGAGCUUUAUCACUUACCGUGAUUUAAAGAUCAAACGUCCUCCCACAUCCCAAUUUCUGCUCUUGUUCUUUGUCUGCAUCUGAUUGUUUUUAUUGUUUUGUUAGGUGUCGGCAAUAUUGUCCUUUUUUUGAUUAGUCUGUUUCAUGAUGUGGGAAAAACCACCCCAAGGCUAUGGUAGAUUCUGAGCCCCAACAGUGUCAGAAGUAAUGACUCCCUAGUCUGUAGCCAGCGAUGGCAGAGGGACCAGACAAACUCCCAGAACGGGGAUCCUUGGAGAAUUAAAGCCCAAACACAUUCAUCUAGGGCAGCUGUCUACAACACACACCAGCAGCUUCAGAAUAAAUCAC
rnacentral:lncRNA from 1 species